CUCCCCCGCCGUCGCCGCUCAACUCGGUCUUCGUCGGCGCCGCUCAAUUCGGCAUCUGUUGCCGCUCUCCGAUCCUCCUGCUUCGACCCCUCACCGGUUCUGACGAGAAGAAGUAGAGCUGGGAGGAUGCGGAGUGAUGUGGUGAGGAGCAACAGUUGCAGAGCAUUAGCACUGCGGCAACACACUUCUAUGGUGGUGUAGUGCAGACACGGACGAGGAAAAGAACGCAUAUACAAGCUCAUAUAUUUGUUAUCUUCUUUCCUGAAUCAUGAUUCCUGUUCCGGAACUACUUCCAUGUCCAAUACUUUGGUGUCCGACCUUGGUAUUGGUUGUCCAUUUCCUUUCUGAAUACAUGAGCUUUGGUAUGGAUCUUGGGAGCAAGUCAUCCUCAGUUUGCUUCCAGUGGAGUAGGUAUGCGAAGAAGUGAGCUGAAUCAUCUAUAGAUUAAAGCUAUGCUAUCUGAAUAGUUUAGUUAAGUUAUGUCUUCUUGACUUGCUCUUUAUGUGUUUGCCAAUGGCGGCAGUG